AGGAUUCCCUCAGUAGCGGCGAGUGAAGCGGGAUCAGCCCAGCGCCGAAUCCCCGUGCCUGCGUGGUGCGCGGGAAAUGUGGCGUAAGGAAGCCCCACUCCGUGCCUGCGCCCGGGCUCACGUCCUUCUGAUCAGGCCUUCCCACAGAGGGUGUCAGGCCCCCACGGCCCACGGCCUGGGCGGAACACGGCUUUCAGGAGUCGGGUUGUUUUGGAAUGCAGCCCAAAGACGGGUGGUAAACUCCAUCCAAGGCUAAAUACUGGCACGAGUCCGAUAGCGAACAAGUACCGUGAGGGAAAGUUGAAAAGCACUUUGAAGAGAGAGUUCAAGAGUACGUGAAACCGCUAAGAAGCAAACGGGUGGGCCCGCAAAGUGGCACGGGAGAUUCAGCGUGUCGGGGAGUACGUCCGCCGGGCUUCAGGAUCCGCAAGGACCGCUGGGCGGCGGCUCGUGCCUCCGACGCGUGCACUUUUUCCGCGCGCAGAGCUGACGACCGGCUGGGAGUCUACCAAAAGGCUGACCGGCAGGUUCCUCCUACAGUUCUCGGACUCGGGAGAGCUUACAGCCGGCUUGCAACGGCUAGACGCCCGGUCGAGGAAGGGUAUCCGCGCCUGCCCCGCCGUGGCUGGGCCCCCUGUCUCCCGCAGGUUGCGUCGGAGCGGGACUGUCCUCAGUGUCGUUCCGGUGCAGCCUACGGCUGCGCAGAUCGGGUCUCAUCAGGCGCUUUCGGGUCGGUCAGCGAGGUCGGUCGCCCACCCGACCCGUCUUGAAACACGGACCAAGGAGUCUAACACGCCCGCGAGUCGUAGGGACUGGAAGCCCGAAGGCGCAAUGAAAGUGAAGGCCGGCCCGUCUGGCCGAGGUGGGAUCCCGUCGCUCGGCGGCGGGCGCACCMCUGCCCCGUCUCGAUCGCUUCCGUCGACGAGGCGGAGGAGGAGCGUGUGCGUUAGGACCCGAAAGAUGGUGAACUAUGCCUGAGCAGGACGAAGCCAGAGGAAACUCUGGUGGAAGUGCCGCAGCGAUUCUGACGUGCAAAUCGAUCGUC
rnacentral:rRNA from 1 species